UCCCCUUUAGCUCAGUGGUUUUAGAGUUUCGUGCUUAUGAGGAUACCUUUAGGUUUUGAUCACGAAUGUCGGCAGUUCAAUCCUGUCAAGGGGAA